AUAGAUAUGCUGGGGGGGUCGGGGGGGAGUCUUGGAAUAAAAUUGGUCAUAUACUACCAGAAAAAAUGAAAUAUGCUUUCAGAAGCCUUUAGUUUUUAUGGUGUGAAACAGUUUCUGGAGUGACCUUAUUUCUUGGCAUUAAUUGUUACUGACUGUCUUUAAGAACCUGCAAGUCAGGUUGGCUGUUUUAUGUUUUCCUGUUUUCUGGGCCUUAUGUAAGUAGGCACAGAGUAGUAUCUUCUGAUCAAAAAGUAUAUUUUUCUCUUGAUGUGUUUACUUAGUGCCAUUUUAUUUUAUUUUAAAGUUGAAAAUUAUUGGGGAGUAGUACUUUAACAUUUGUCAUUCAUAUCUCCCUUCCCCAACUUUACAUUGCAAAAAUGUAAAGGAAACAAAUUUCAACUUGCCUCCUGUUUAAAUUGUCACUAAGAAUACUGUAUUACAGUUUCUUAGCCUCACUUGGUCUAAUUUAGUCAACGAACUGAAUAUGGGAGCAAUGCCUCAAGUAGCACUGAAGAUAUUUACCUCUGAAAAUUUUUGGCACACCCAUCAAACAAUCAUUCCUUUGCAUGUUGGCACAGACUUUAUGUAUGUGCUCUAGUAUAGCAUAUGUCACCUGACUGGCUUUCUCUGUCCAUCUACCUCAACUUUCUUGGUUCAUGAAUUUUUAUUUUCUAGGGAAUAAAAGCAGUAUGUGGCAUAUGAUAAAUACUUAAUUGAAAAAGUACUAUUGGUCCUUAGUGUUACCAUACACCUGUCUUCUAACAGUUUAUAACCUCUCAUACCCUUUCCUCCUAGGUAUGUAGCACAGUGCUAUUACACUGAAUAGACACUUAAAAGAUGAAUUAUUAAAUUGCUUUGGAAGAGAAACCUAGAAAAUUGAAUUCCUUUUCUGAGUAUCUUAAAUUGGCAGUCACCUGCAGCUUUAAAUCCUGGUCAUCCUCAAAGUUCAUUUCUGCAACUAUGAAAAAUAAGCUGCUAAACCCAAAUAAUAGCUGUCUCCUCUGAUGCAUUUAGUCUCUUCACAAUUUAUUACUGUGGAAUGUUUUGUGUUAAUUUUUCAUGCCCUAUGGAAUUUUUGUAAUAUUUGUAUUUCCCAAUGAGCCAAAUGCAAUGCUAUCAGUUUAAUAAAUGUUGAUUGAACAAGA